CGUAGAUAUCAAGAGGUACGCCAGAGCCGAAGGCGACUUGCUGGGCCUGUCCUGACGCUGAGAUGCGAUAGCCAGGGGAGCGAUCGGGAUUAGAUACCCCGGUAGUCCUGGCCCUAAACGAUGUCCACUAGAUCGGAGAUUCUCUGACGGAUUUCUGGUCGAAAUGAAUACGUUAAGUGGUCCGCCUGGGGAGUACGGUCGCAAGGCUUAAACUCAAAGGAAUUGACGGGGGCUCACACAAGCGGUGGAGCAUGUUGCUUAAUUCGAUGCAACGCGAAGAACCUUAUCCUGGACUUGACAUGUUCGGAUGCCUCCCUGGAAACAGGGUUCGGCUGCCCUUCGGGGUGAAACGAUCACAGGUGCUGCAUGGCUGUCGUCAGCUCGUGUCGUGAGAUGUUGGGUUAAGUCCCGUAACGAGCGAAACCCUUGUCGCUAGUUGCCAGCGCGUAAUGGCGGGGACUCUAGCGAGACUGCCGCUCUCAAACCGGAGGAAGGUGGGGAUGACGUCAAGUCCUCAUGGCCUUUAUGUCCAGGGCUGCAAACGUGCUACAAUGGCCGGUACAAAUCGACGCAAGACCGCGAGGUGGAGCAAAUCGCAAAAAGCCGGCCCCAGUUCGGAUUGGAGUCUGCAACUCGACUCCAUGAAGUCGGAAUCGCUAGUAAUCGCGUAUCAGCGUGACGCGGUGAAUGUGUUCCUGAGCAUUGUACACACCGCCCGUCAAGUCAUGGAAGCCGGGAGCACCACGAAGUCGCCCUAUUUCAG
rnacentral:rRNA from 1 species